CAUGCAAGUCGAACGGAAAGGCCCUUCGGGGUACUCGAGUGGCGAACGGGUGAGUAACACGUGGGUGAUCUGCCCUGCAUUUUGGGAUAAGCCUGGGAAACUGGGUCUAAUACCGGAUAGGACCACGGUCUGCAUGGAUUGUGGUGGAAAGCUUUUGCGGUGUGGGAUGGGCCCGCGGCCUAUCAGCUUGUUGGUGAGGUUACGGCUCACCAAGGCGACGACGGGUAGCCGGCCUGAGAGGGUGUCCGGCCACACUGGGACUGAGAUACGGCCCAGACUCCUACGGGAGGCAGCAGUGGGGAAUAUUGCACAAUGGGCGCAAGCCUGAUGCAGCGACGCCGCGUGAGGGAUGACGGCCUUCGGGUUGUAAACCUCUUUCGCCAGGGACGAAGCGCAAGUGACGGUACCUGGAGAAGAAGCACCGGCCAACUACGUGCCAGCAGCCGCGGUAAUACGUAGGGUGCGAGCGUUGUCCGGAAUUACUGGGCGUAAAGAGCUCGUAGGUGGUUUGUCGCGUUGUUCGUGAAAACUCACA
rnacentral:rRNA from 1 species